rnacentral:rRNA from 1 species
GUUUCAGCCGCCGCGGUAAUACGUAGGAGGCAAGCGUUAUCCGGAUUCACUGGGCGUAAAGCGCACGCAGGCGGUCAUGUAAGUCGGACGUGAAAGCUCCUGGCUCAACUGGGAGAGGUCGUUCGAUACUGCAUGGCUUGAGGUUGGGAGAGGGAAGCGGAAUUCCCGGUGUAGUGGUGGAAUGCGUAGAUAUCGGGAGGAACACCAGUGGCGAAAGCGGCUUCCUGGCCCAUACCUGACGCUCAGGUGCGAAAGCGUGGGGAGCGAACGGGAUUAGAUACCCCGGUAGUCC